GUGUACGUAAUUUAAAAAAAAUAUCAA
rnacentral:tRNA from 1 species